rnacentral:lncRNA from 1 species
GUGAGUUUACACAUCUCUCAUCUAAGGAGAACUCCUAAGAGAGUUCCAUAUGUAGAAUGAUAGCUGAGGUGAGAUCAAAAUUCACAUCAAAGGCAGAAAAGCAGAGCAGGAGUCAUUCCAGUGGAGCAGCGCAGGACCUGUAGCCAUGUCUGGGAUGUGUGCCCAAGUCUUUGGUUACAUCUGGCACCCAUCAGGCCACUUGCAAGCUGAGAUGAAGAGGCGUGGAGGAACGGAGUGCAGCAGCAAGCAAAGAAAUGCACCAAAAGGUCACGGCCAGAACGAGGUAGCUGUGGAAUCAUCUGCUUUGGCUGCUUAUCAGAGACUCUAGGUCACAGAAGGCCUCUGGGGCACAGUAUCCCCUUGGACAAGCUGCUUUCACUGACAAAUGCAGCAUCUCAUGAGAAUAGUGCAGUGGCAGAGUGUAUUUUUCCCCCA